UACGGGGGGGCAAGCGUUGUUCGGAAUUACUGGGCGUAAAGGGCUCGUAGGCGGCCAACUAAGUCCGACGUGAAAUCCCCAGGCUUAACCUGGAACUGCGUCGGAUACUGGAUGGCUUGAAUCCGGGAGAGGGAUGCGGAAUCCAGGUGUAGCGGUGAAAUGCGUAGAUAUCAAGAGGAACACCUGAGGUGAAGACGGGUUGCUGGGCUGACACUGACGCUGAGGCGCGAAGCCAGGGGAGCAAACGGGA
rnacentral:rRNA from 1 species